GCGAGAGGACUGAGAUUUGAAUUUAAUAUGUUUGAAAACAUAUCUAUGAUUUUGUCAGUGUCUCGACCAGUAAAACAACGUAAAUUGAGCAGUUUUUGGCAAAUGAUCCGGAUCAUCGCUCAACUGGUUCGAUUAACAUAACAUGCUUAUGAAUGAGAUCAGACGUGUGUCGGCGCCACCUUGUGGACAAUGUGUGUAUCUGCAUCAAUAGACGAAAACAGCACAACCUCAAAGCCCGGUCAAAGCGAGACAGCAGCACUGGGACUUUUCACUGUUUGUAUCACUCCGCGUGUUUCAGAUGGACGGUCAGUUUAUUGUUGGUGCUGGGGAUUUGACAUUGGGGAGGUUACUGAGGUUACACCAGUAUGUGGCGACAGUGACCUUCAUUCAGUGAGUGAAAAAACACGCGAAAUAUCAUUACAGACAGUUCAGUUCAUUUGGCUCUCUGAAAAUCUGCUGAUUUGUAUCAGAUGGAUUAAAUAAGGUGCUGGAC